rnacentral:lncRNA from 1 species
UGGCAUUUUUUGUUUAAAUAUUUGCUUAAAAUGGAAAAAAAUCCACAAAAUAUAUGAGAAAAGGCUAUAAAAGCGACCGAAAAUCUUUUUCCAGUUAAAUCAAGGCAAUAGUAUGAUCGGGAGUAUGGCAUAUUUAGUAUUUGGAACAAUGCCAAUGGCAUAUUUUCAGGAACUGUGGGAAAAAUACAGUCCGAACUCUCUCUGGACCAAGUAUUCUACCCUAAGGUCUAUGUUAAUGGUCUAUAAAAAUAUAGACACACUUGCAAUACCAUCGCAUACCAAUCUCAUAUCUUUUUUAAAAGUUAAGUCGAAAGGAUAUGUCCCGAAGAAGUCUAAAGUUUUGGAAGGAGAACAAAUAAUAAAAUUUAUUAUAAAGGAUCCUGAUGAUAUCUACUUGACACACAAAGUCAUAUUGGUAAUGGGUGUUUUUGGAGGUUGAGUUGGUCGAAAUUACCAUUGAUGAUAUUGAAGAUAGAAGAAUGGUCUUGGUUAUAAAGGUACCAGAAAUUAAAACUUCAACUUCAAAAAGUUUUACUAUCAUUGAAUAAGAUUUAGGUGCUUUAAAUUUAAUAAAAAAGUACGCAGCAUAAAGACCAGCUGGAAUAAAGGAGUGAAGAUUCUUUCUUACCUAUAGAAAGAGUCGCUGUACAGUACAACCUGUUGGAAAAAAUACCAUAGGAAGCGUCCCAACAUUGAUCGCAAAAUUUUUAAAACUGGAUAAGGCAGAAGAUUAUACCGGCCACUGUUUGCGUUGCACGUCGUCAACUUGACUUGUUGAGGCAGGUGCUUUGUUUGAAAUAAAACAAUAUGGGAAAUGGAAAAGCUCUUCAGUAGCUGAAGGAUAUAUAGAAGAAAGUAUUUCAUCCAAAAAUAAAGUAGCCAAAAUGAUUGCCAAUUCAGUUAAUUCCGAGGAUAAUUCUGUAUUGACUAUUGAAAAUUCUUUAAUGGUCAAUUUACAAACUAUACAAAAUAGCAUUAGUGCUGCCACCUCUACCAUCACAAAAAACACGGACCAUUCUAUAGUGGGAUCAGCUACAUUUUUCGGGACAUUUCAAAAUUGUAAUUUUUAUUUUGGAAAUAAAGUUUAACUUUUAGUAUUUAAAGAAA